GCUCUUGCAUCGAUGAAGAACGUAGCGAAAUGCGAUACUUGGUGUGAAUUGCAGAAUCCCGUGAACCAUCGAGUCUUUGAACGCAAGUUGCGCCCGAAGCCAUUAGGCCGAGGGCACGCCUGCCUGGGUGUCACAC
rnacentral:rRNA from 1 species